rnacentral:lncRNA from 1 species
UCCAACCCCAAACCCCCCCCCCCCCCCCCCCCCCCCCCCCCCCCCCCCCCCCCCCCCCCCCCCCCCCCCCCCCCCCCCCCCCCCCCCCCCCCCCCCCCCCCCCCCCCCCCCCCCCCCCCCCCCCCCCCCCCCCCCCCCCCCCCCCCCCCCCCCCCCCCCCCCCCCUUCCACUAUCCCAGGUUGCUCCAAGCCCCAUCCAACUUGACCUUGGGAACUUUGGAGCAUCCACAGCUUCUCUGGGCAACCUGUGCCAGUUUUUCACCACCCUAAGUGUAAAAAUCUCUUCAUUGUAAAUAACUUCUUUUUUAUACCUAAUGUGAAUCGACGCUCCUUCAGUUUAAAACCAUUACCCCUUGUUUUACUGAAACAGGUCCUGCUAAAAAGUCUGUCCCUGUAUUUCUCAUAAGCCCCUUUCAGGUACUGAAAGGCUUCAUUGAGGACUCCCUGGAGUCUUCUUCAGCUGAACAAGACCCAUUUUCUCAGCCUUUCUUCACAGGAGAGGUGCUCCAGCCCUCUGAGCAUCAUCUGAUUCACUCCAGCAGGUCCAUGUCCCUCCUGAGCUGUCCUGAAUGUGUCCUGUCCUCUGCAGCCUCUCCUGUAGAGCCCGUCCAUCACAGAAAGGUGCUUGUGAGCCAAUAACCAGUGCCAGGAGCUCCUUCCCAGGGCUACCAGUGCUUCUACACCCUGGUCAUGACAUGAUUAUUGCCACAAUACAUGGACUUCAGAAUCAGUGUGUGAGAUUGCCAUGGAGAAGGCUGGGGAAGAUGUUUGGGCCCUUGUUGAAGCUCCAUGGACAUAAAUAGAUAUGCAGGAGUACAGCCUGAGGUCUGUGUUUCGUGCCAACAUGACCUGACUGGGGAAGGAAUGUCAUGAGAAACAGACUGCUUUAAAACCCUACUAAUCAGAUAAUCCUUGAACAUGGUGCUGCUCCAGAUCUGAAGUCCCUGUAUCUGUAUGGAUUUAGAUGCCUAUUCUAUGAAUAAAUGCACACUCCUACCUAAACCUGCACACAGACAUUUGAAUAUAUCUAUAUCU